rnacentral:rRNA from 1 species
AACGAACGCUGGCGGCAUGCCUAACACAUGCAAGUCGAACGAGACCUUCGGGUCUAGUGGCGCACGGGUGCGUAACGCGUGGGAACCUGCCCUUAGGUUCGGAAUAACUCCCCGAAAGGGGUGCUAAUACCGGAUAAUGUCUUCGGACCAAAGAUUUAUCGCCUUUGGAUGGGCCCGCGUUGGAUUAGCUAGUUGGUAGGGUAAAAGCCUACCAAGGCGACGAUCCAUAGCUGGUCUGAGAGGAUGAUCAGCCACACUGGGACUGAGACACGGCCCAGACCCCGAGGGGAGGCGGGAGGGGGAAAUAUGGGACAGUGGGGGAAGGCCUGAUCAAGCAUUGCCGGGUGAGGAAUGAAGGCCUUGGGGUUGUAAAGCUUUUUUCCCCGGGAUGAUAAUGACAGUACCGGGAAAAUAAGCCCCGGCUAACCCCGUG